rnacentral:rRNA from 1 species
UACGGAGGGUGCAAGCGUUAAUCGGAAUCACUGGGCGUAAAGCGCGCGUAGGCCGUCUUUUAAGUCGGACGUGAAAGCCCUCGGCUCAACCGGGGAACUGCGUUCGAUACUGGGAGACUUGAGUCCUGGAGAGGGUGGCGGAAUUCCGGGUGCAGGAGUGAAAUCCGUAGAUAUCCGGAGGAACACCGGUGGCGAAGGCGGCCACCGGGACAGGUACUGACUCUGAGGCGCGAAAGCGUGGGGAGCAAACAGG